AUGUUUUCUAACAUCACUUCGUGUUAUUUUGUUAGUGACACGAAUGUUUACGACAUCUUGCAUAACCGGUUUUUAUGUGUGAUAUCAUAUCAAAUUGCUAGAAAAGAUCAUAAAAAACCUAGUACAAUAACAACCGCAAAAAAAAAAUGUUUGCGUCUGCUUACAUUUCUCAUUCAAAUAAAUGCACAUUUAGCUCAUUAUGCCUACCAAUGGCAGUUAGUUCUAGUCAAAUUCAAUAAGCCUAAAAAUUCAUCCAUUUUUGUCACAGGAGGUUCAACCUAUUAUAAUUUCACUGCUGCCACUGUAAGAGGUUGUUAG
rnacentral:rRNA from 1 species